rnacentral:rRNA from 1 species
CCUACGGGAGGCAGCAGUGGGGAAUAUUGCACAAUGGGGGAAACCCUGAUGCAGCGACGCCGCGUGAGUGAAGAAGUAUCUCGGUACGUAAAGCUCUAUCAGCAGGGGAGAAAAUGACGGUACCUGAGUAAGAAGCCCCGGCUAACUACGUGCCAGCACCCGCGGUAAUACGUAGGGAGCAAGCGUUAUCCGGAUUUACUGGGGGUAAAGGGAGCGUAGACGGCAGCACAAGUCUGGAGUGAAAGCCCGGGGCUUAACCCCGGAACUGCGUUGGAACUGGGCGGCUGGAGUGCAGGAGGGGUAAGCGGAAUUCGUAGUGUAGCGGUGAAAUGCGUAGAUAUUAGGCGGAACACCGGUGGCGAAGGCGGCUUACUGGA